rnacentral:rRNA from 1 species
ACCUACGGGGGGCAGCAGUGGGGAAUAUUGCACAAUGGGGGAAACCCUGAUGCAGCAACGCCGCGUGAGUGAAGAAGUAUUUCGGUAUGUAAAGCUCUAUCAGCAGGGAAGAGAAUGACGGUACCUGACUAAGAAGCCCCGGCUAACUACGUGCCAGCAGCCGCGGUAAUACGUAGGGGGCGAGCGUUAUCCGGAUUUACUGGGUGUACAGGGAGCGUAGACGGUUCUGCAAGUCUGAAGUGAAAGCCCGUGGCUUACUCGCG